UUUUUUCCUCAAAUCAAGUAAGACUACCCGCUGAACUUAAGCAUAUCAAU
rnacentral:rRNA from 1 species